CAUGCCAGGAAGACUCUCGCCCAAAAUUACACCCAUUGAAGUCUAGCACGACUGCGACAAAAUAUGUGCAAAGCCAGCAAAGGGGAAAAUUAUGUGGAAAUCUUUGAGGAAAUUUCUGGUUUCUGGCAUCAUCCCAAAUCUGGAGACCGUGCAGUGAGAAAAGGAAGGAAGAACAUGUGAGAUAAACAUCAAAGAUGCUUUGCUACAAGCAGAAAUUGCAAGAGCUACUUGGAUAUGGUGUCUUUGUGAUGGUAUUCCACGGUAAGAAGGUGGGCGGAGCAUCCACAUUGUUGAGAACCCCUCUGCAUCGUCAGCAGGUAUCUCGGGUUCACUAGCGUUUCGCCCCUUAACCUGUACGCUUCACAUGAGUGGGGCAGCAAAGAGCAUUUAGCCUUCGCCUGCAGAGGGGUUCCAACUGUGGGCUCUCUUCAGCCACAACCAUCUUGAGCUAGUCUCGGCAGCCACAGUUAUCUCCCUGGUGGCUUUCUUCAGAUGUUUUGGAUCCAGGCCAACCUUCUGUAGGAAAUAGCGCAAAGAUGUUGCUGGGAAACCCCGACAGCCGACUUCGAUAGGAUUGGUUGCGUGCCAUCCUUUGAUAAGAGCCUCAUCGAUCAAGUCCUGGUACUUAGCUUUCUUGAUUUGGUGUGAGAUAGCUAGCCUGUCCUCCCAUGGCACCGUAAGUUCAGCUACUAAGAUGGUCUUGGUGAUCCUGGAAAUCAGGACCAGGUCUGGACGGAGUGAGGUCGCUGCGAUGUCUUGUGGGAAGACAAGCCUACUUCUCAGGUCCACUUGCAUCUCCCAGUCAAAAGCACGCUGUAGAAUGGAUGGAGAGUGCUUGGCAGUUGCCUUUACCGUGGGAGUAUGGUUGCCUUCACGCUGGAAGUUGCACACAAACACUGUGAGGAGCAACACACACACGGGGCGAGAAGAUAUUCUCCGUGUGUGGAUGAAAGUAGUUACUUUGUGUGUUGAGCGAAAGAGGAAAGAAGAAAAUGUUUUUCAUUUUUGUUUGUUUGAACCAGGUAUUUUCAAGUGAAUCCAUUCCCUCUUGCAAAUGUAGCCAGCAAGGUGUGUGUAUUAUGCUUGUAUUACCCAAGUGUAUUUGUAUUUACUUUUUAUAGUUUAUGAAUGUGUUUAUCUUUUACAAUGUCAUACUGUAGUACGACAGUGGAUUGUAAUGACGGUGGAUGUGAUGAGGAC